rnacentral:lncRNA from 1 species
AUAUGUAUACUUCUUAGGAAAAAAAUGUGAUCUUGAGAUUGAUCCUUCAUGAGACUUGUGAAAUUUUCACACACUUGAGCAAAUCCCACGUGAGCUAUAUUUCAGAAGAAGUUAUUAAUUAACUCAUUAAUGGAUUAACAUUUUUUUCCCUUCUCCUGGUCUUUAAAAAAAUGGCUUAGUAGCCAUUAUUGUCCUUAUCAGCUUG